rnacentral:tRNA from 1 species
GAAUGAUUUUUGUAAUUGGUUGAAUUUUUCAAAAUUCCGUAUGGCAUGCAAGAGGUCAUCGGUUCGACUCCGAUAUUCUCCA